UACGUAGGGGGCAAGCGUUGUCCGGAAUUAUUGGGCGUAAAGAGCUCGUAGGCGGUCUGUCGCGUCUGCUGUGAAAACUCAGGGCUUAACCCUGAGCUUGCAGUGGGUACGGGCAGACUAGAGUGCGGUAGGGGAGACUGGAAUUCCUGGUGUAGCGGUGAAAUGCGCAGAGAUCGGGAGGAACACCCGUAGCGAAGGCGGCACUCUGGGCCGGUACUGACGCUGAGGAGCGAAAGCGUGGGGAGCAAACAGG
rnacentral:rRNA from 1 species